CUCGAAUUUGCCAUCACUAGCUUGGAGUGCUGUUUUACUCUGAGUACCACUGCGGCUUACAGCUGCUGCUGUUCGCGGGCGUGUUUGGGCCACCAGCGUCUGAUUUGGGCGUGGCACUUUGUGCGCUCUUACGCACGUUGUCUGGAGGCUGGGAGUGCAGCUCCACUGGGGUCUUGAGCAGACCGGUGCGUCUUCUUACUGCGGGACCAGGCUGCACCUCCCGCGGUGGCUGCUGGGAACAGCUGCGUCGGCUUGAUAAUUUAGAGGCUGGCCACGCCUUGCGUAACUCCUCCUGCUGCUGACUUCCUGGAUCCUGGGUAUUUGACCAAGCUGCAUCUUGUUAACAGUCUGGUAACAAAUUGGACUUUGUACGGACAUUAUAGGGGUCACAAAGCCAGAGGUGGGCGGAAAAAAAAAGAGAAAUAACAUAUCGCGUGCUGGCUCUGUGAUCCACAUUUAUCCCACACCUGUAUUUUAUUGUUUGUUUUUUUUUUAAAUCAUCGCCCUACGUGUUUUAACUGUAAUAUAUUGGUGUUUGGUUUAUUUGCAUGUUCUUUUUUUGUGUGGAUGAGAGUUUUGUAAUUUUGAGUUUGGGUUUGUUUUUUUACUUUCAGUGUUUUUUUUUUCUAUAUUGGUAAAUGGGGUGACUUUAACUAAUCA